AGUGAACGCUGGCGGUAGGCCUAACACAUGCAAGUCGAACGGCAGCACAGUAAGAGCUUGCUCUUACGGGUGGCGAGUGGCGGACGGGUGAGGAAUACAUCGGAAUCUACUUUUUCGGGGGGGAUAACGUAGGGAAACUUACGCUAAUACCGCAUACGACCUACGGGGGAAAGCAGGGGAUCGUCGGACCUUGCGCGAUUGAAUGAGCCGAUGUCGGAUUAGCUGGUUGGCGGGGUAAAGGCCCACCAAGGCGACGAUCCGUAGCUGGUCUGAGAGGAUGGUCAGCCACCCUGGAACUGAGACACGGUCCAGACUCCUGCGGGACGCAGCAGUGGGGAAUAUUGGACAAUGGGCGCAAGCCUGAUCCAGCCAUACCGCGUGGGUGAAGAAGGCCUUCGGGUUGUAAAGCCCUUUUGUUGGGAAAGAAAAGCAGCAGGUUAAUACCCCGCUGUUCUGACGGUACCCAAAGAAUAAGCACCGGCUAACUUCGUG
rnacentral:rRNA from 1 species